UGGGGAAUUUUGGACAAUGGGGGAAACCCUGAUCCAGCCAUCCCGCGUGUGCGAUGAAGGCCUUCGGGUUGUAAAGCACUUUUGGCAGGAAAGAAACGUCAUGGGUUAAUACCCCGUGAAACUGACGGUACCUGCAGAAUAAGCACCGGCUAACUACGUGCCAGCAGCCGCGGUAAUACGUAGGGUGCAAGCGUUAAUCGGAAUUACUGGGCGUAAAGCGUGCGCAGGCGGUUCGGAAAGAAAGAUGUGAAAUCCCAGAGCUCAACUUUGGAACUGCAUUUUUAACUACCGGGCUAGAGUGUGUCAGAGGGAGGUGGAAUUCCGCGUGUAGCAGUGAAAUGCGUAGAUAUGCGGAGGAACACCGAUGGCGAAGGCAGUCUCCUGGGAUAACACUGACGCUCAUGCACGAAAGCGUGGGGAGCAAACAGG
rnacentral:rRNA from 1 species